GAUGAACGCUGGCGGCGUGCCUAAUACAUGCAAGUAGAACGCUGAAGGAGGAGCUUGCUCUUCUGGAUGAGUUGCGAACGGGUGAGUAACGCGUAGGUAACCUGCCUGGUAGCGGGGGAUAACUAUUGGAAACGAUAGCUAAUACCGCAUGACAACAGUUAUUGCAUGAUAACUGUUUAAAAGGGGCAACUGCUCCACUACCAGAUGGACCUGCGUUGUAUUAGCUAGUUGGUGAGGUAACGGCUCACCAAGGCGACGAUACAUAGCCGACCUGAGAGGGUGCUCGGCCACACUGGGACUGAGACACGGCCCAGACUCCUACGGGAGGCAGCAGUAGGAAAUCUUCGGCAAUGGACGGAAGUCUGACCGAGCAACGCCGCGUGAGUGAAGAAGGUUUUCGGAUCGUAAAGCUCUGUUGUAAGAGAAGAACGAGUGUGAGAGUGGAAAGUUCACACUGUGACGGUAUCUUACCAGAAAGAGACGGCUAACUACGUG
rnacentral:rRNA from 1 species